rnacentral:rRNA from 1 species
UGGAUAACCUGCCUCGAUGACCGGGACAACCCGAGGAAACCCGGGCUAAUACCGGAUGUGCUCCUUCACAUCAGUGAAGACAGGAAAGGAAGCUUCGGCCUCCGCAUCGAGAUGGGCCCGCGGCCCAUUAGCUUGUUGGUGAGGUAACGGCUCACCAAGGCUGCGAUGGGUAGCUGAUCUGAGAGGACGAUCAGCCACACGUGGGACUGAGACACGGCCCAGACCUCCG